rnacentral:lncRNA from 1 species
GUCGGUAUUUGUUAAGCGCUCACUAUGUGCCGAGCACCGUUCUAAGCGCUGGGGCAGAUACAGGGUAAUCAGGUUGUCCCACGUGAGGCUCACAGUUAAUCCCCAUCAGCCAGAUGAGAUAACUGAGGCACAGAGAAGUGAAGUGACUUGCCCACGGUCACACAGCAGACAUAGUGACAGAACCGGGAUUCAAACCGGUGACCAGUGCAGUCCAUUUACUUAGUGCAGAGCACCAUUCUAAGCGCUGGGGAGAGUCCAAUAUGAGUUGGUAGCCACAGUGUGACUGUGGGCAAGUCACUUGACUUCUCUGUGCCUCAGUUACCUCAUCUGUAAAAUGGGGAUUAACUGUGAGCCUCACGUGGGACAACCUGAUUACCCUGUAUCUAACCCGGCGCUCGGAACGGUGCUCGGCACAUAGUGAGCGCUUAACAAAUACCAACAUUAUUAUUCCCUGCCCGCAAGGUACUUAGAGUCUAGUCAUCCCCUCCGGUCAUUCUCGCCCUCUGAGCUGGAUUUCCAGAAUUUGGGAUUGAGCCGAGAUUAGUUGGGGUAGAUCCCAAGGGUUAGCCCACGAAAGGGAGUGUUUGAUCAAAGGGAAACAGGAGGUGUUCCGUCUCCGGAGAUCUGUGAAAGUAGGAGCCGAUGUGGGCUCCAAAGGCAGGAGGAUGGUCUUAUGCCUUUCUCCAUCGAGCCCUGACGUUCUAGGGAGGAUGUGAAUUAGGGUGGACCCUAGGACCCAGUAGGGAGGAAAAGGCAAAGAGGAGGCGCUAGGACCUAGGAAGGACCACAGGGCCGAAUGGGAUAAAAAAGGAUUGAAUGACAAUAAAUUGUUUGCCAUUCCGGACGUGCUGAAUCCUAUCCGGCCAGCAGGAUGGACUGAAAUAGAUACUGCAGGGAAAGCUGGAGCUCUUAAUGCUUGGCUAAGUGGCGUCAUCCAGUUGAAACUGAAUCGGCCCAUUAGAACUCCCCAUAGAGAUCUCUGUAUCCGGUCCCUGGGUAAUGACUGCUACAGAAUUAAAAAAGAGAAAAUGGGGAGGGGGGGGUGGAGGCGUGGAGUGGGGAGCAACAAUUUUAAGGAGGACCCAUUUGAAUAUUUUUGGCCGGAUGUCACUGUGCUUCUGAGCCCCCGUUUCUAAAAGAUGAUAGAAACUUCAGUCUGAUAAAGAGGUGAACAUUCUUCUCUGCUUCUGUUCUUUUCCUCGCCGCCAGCAGAUGCCUCCAACCCGCACUACCGCCAAC